rnacentral:misc_RNA from 1 species
CCAUGCUUGACUAGCUCGCA